rnacentral:tRNA from 1 species
GUGGACGUGCCAGAGUGGUUAUCGCGCCCACUUGAAAUCAUGUGGGCUCGGCCCGCGCAGGUUCGAGUCCUGCUGUCCACG